rnacentral:rRNA from 1 species
UACGAAGGUCCCAAGCGUUGUUCGGAAUCACUGGGCGUAAAGGGAGCGUAGGCGGCGUGGUAAGUCAGAUGUGAAAUCCCGGGGCUCAACCCGGGAACUGCAUCCGAUACUGCCGUGCUUGAGGGUUGGAGAGGUAGCUGGAAUUAUCGGUGUAGCAGUGAAAUGCGCAGAUAUCAGGAGGAACACCGAUGGCGAAGGCAGGUCUCUGGGCAUUAACUGACGCUGAGGCGCGAAAGCAUGGGGAGCGAACAGG